rnacentral:rRNA from 1 species
CCUAACGGUUAAUACCCGUUAGCGAUGACAUUAGCUGCAGAAUAAGCACCGGCUAACUCUGUGCCAGCAGCCGCGGUAAUACAGAGGGUGCAAGCGUUAAUCGGAAUUACUGGGCGUAAAGCGAGCGUAGGUGGCUUGAUAAGUCAGAUGUGAAAUCCCCGGGCUUAACCUGGGAACUGCAUCUGAAACUGUUAGACUAGAGUAGGUGAGAGGGAAGUAGAAUUUCAGGUGUAGCGGUGAAAUGCGUAGAGAUCUGAAGGAAUACCGAUGGCGAAGGCAGCUUCCUGGCAUCAUACUGACACUGAGGCUCGAAAGCGUGGGUAGCAAACAGGAUUAGAUACCCUGGUAGUCCACGCCGUAAACGAUGUC